rnacentral:rRNA from 1 species
CGUGAGUGAUGAAGGCUUUCGGGUCGUAAAGCUCUGUCAAGUGGGAAGAACCUGUUAGGUACUAAUACCAUCUAGCACUGACGGUACCACUAAAGGAAGCACCGGCUAACUCCGUGCCAGCAGCCGCGGUAAUACGGGGGGUGCAAGCGUUAUUCGGAAUUAUUGGGCGUAAAGGGCGCGUAGGCGGUCUCUAAAGUCAGAUGUGAAAGCCCGGGGCUUAACCCCGGAAGUGCAUUUGAAACUUAGGGACUUGAGUAUGGGAGAGGGAAGUGGAAUUCCUGGUGUAGCGGUGAAAUGCGUAGAUAUCAGGAGGAACACCAGUGGCGAAGGCGACUUCCUGGACCAAUACUGACGCUGAGGCGCGAAGGCGUGGGGAGCAAACAGGAUUAGAUACCCUGGUAGUCCACGCAGUAAACGGUGAACACUAGGUGUAGCGGGUAUUGACCCCUGCUGUGCCGCAGCUAACGCAUUAA